UCUCUCUAAUUAAACAGUAUGUAUCUGUCUAUACAUUAAUGCUUGCAUCGCUAAUAUGAAUCUUUUCUUUAUAGAUUCUUCCAAUUCAACCAUCAACGCACCGAAUAAACAACACACCGACCUCUUCAUCAGGGACCUCUCUCUAAUUACAGAGUAUGUAUAUGUCUAUAUAACGAAAGCAAUGCCUGCAUCGCUAACAUGAAUCUUUUCUUUACAGAUUCUCCCAAUUCAACCAUCAACGCACCGAAUAAACAACACACCGACCUCUUCAUCAGGGACCUCUCUCUAAUUACAGAGUAUGUAUAUGUCUAUAUAACGAAAGCAAUGCCUGCAUCGCUAACAUGAAUCUUUUCUUUACAGAUUCUCCCAAUUCAACCAUCAACGCACCGAAUAAACAACACACCGACCUCUUCAUCAGGGACCUCUCUCUAAUUACAGAAUUCUUCCAAUUCAACCAUCAGCGCACCGAAUAAACAACACACCGACCUCUUCAUCAGGGACCUCUCUCUAAUUAUAAAAUUCUUCCAAUUCAACCAUCAGCGCACCGAAUAAACAACACACCGACCUCUUCAUCAGGGACCUCUCUCUAAUUAUAAAAUUCUUCCAAUUCAACCAUCAACGCACCGAAUAAACAAC